AUGUGAGUCAUAUGGGGAUUUUGUAAAAAUGUAGAUUCUGAUUCAGCAAAUCUGGGUGGGGCUUGAGAGUCUGAAUUUUGAACAAGUUUCCAGGUGAUCCUAAU
rnacentral:miRNA from 1 species